UGGGGAAUAUUGCACAAUGGGGGAAACCCGUGAUGCAGCGACGCCGCGUGAGCUAUGAAGUAUUUCGGUAUGUAAAGCUCUAUCAGCAGGGAAGAAUUAAGACGGUACCUGACUAAGAAGCACCGGCUAAAUACGUGCC
rnacentral:rRNA from 1 species